UAAAGUAAGUGGAGCAGUGGUCUCUUCACUUGGUUUUUAUAGUGAGAUUCAACUCCUCCAUCUCAUUUUU
rfam:Tribolium castaneum strain Georgia GA2 linkage group LG4, whole genome shotgun sequence.